rfam:Rhodospirillales bacterium B29T1 genome assembly, contig: Ga0116950_126
GGCGAGUGAAUGAAGGGCAUUUGGUGGAUGCCUUGGCGCUGAGAGGCGAUGAAGGACGUGGCACGCUGCGAAAAGCUUGGGGGAGGUGCGAGCAACCUUUGAUCCCGAGAUCUCCGAAUGGGGAAACCCACUCCGCAAGGAGUAUCCUUACCUGAAUCCAUAGGGUGAGGAGGCGAACCCGGGGAACUGAAACAUCUAAGUACCCGGAGGAAAGGACAUCAACCGAGACUCCGUUAGUAGUGGCGAGCGAACGCGGACCAGGCCAGUGAUCAGAGCUCUGUCGACCGGAACCGUAUUGGAAAAUCGGGCCAUAGCGGGUGAGAGCCCCGUACGGGUAAGAAGAGCUUUGAUCCUUGAGUAAGGCGGGACACGAGAAAUCCUGUCUGAAGAUGGGGGGACCACCCUCCAAGCCUAAGUACUCCUCAGCGACCGAUAGUGCACGAGUACCGUGAGGGAAAGGUGAAAAGCACCGCGACGAGCGGGGUGAAAGAGACCCUGAAACCGAAUGCCUACAAGCAGUGGGAGCUGGACGUAAGUCUUCGGACUUACGGGCUGGUGACCGCGUACCUUUUGCAUAAUGGGUCAGCGAGUUAAUGUUUGCAGCAAGCUUAAGCCGUAAGGUGUAGGCGCAGCGAAAGCGAGUCUGAAUAGGGCGUUUAGUUGCGGGCAUUAGACCCGAAACCGGGUGAUCUAGCCAUGGGCAGGUUGAAGGUAAGGUGACACUUACUGGAGGACCGAACGCACGCCUGUUGAAAAAGUCGGCGAUGACCUGUGGCUAGGGGUGAAAGGCCAAUCAAACCCGGAGAUAGCUGGUUCUCCGCGAAAACUAUUGAGGUAGUGCGUCACGUGAUGCCCGUGUGGGGUAGAGCACUGGAUGGGCUAGGGGGGAGCGAUCCCUACCAAACCUAACCAAACUCCGAAUACGCACGCGUUAACGUGGCAGACAGACGGCGGGUGCUAAGGUCCGUCGUCGAGAGGGAAAGAACCCAGACCACCAGCUAAGGUCCCCAAGUCAUGGCUAAGUGGGAAAGGAUGUGAGAAGGCCAUAACAACCAGGAGGUUGGCUUAGAAGCAGCCAUCCUUUAAAGAAAGCGUAACAGCUCACUGGUCUAAUAGCCGUCUUGCGCCGAAGAUGUAACGGGGCUCAAGCCAUGCACCGAAGCUGUGGAUUCAUCUCAUUGAGGUGAGUAGUAGCGGAGCGUUCCGUAGGCCGGCGAAGCCAGAUUGUGAGAUCUGGUGGAGGUAUCGGAAGUGCGAAUGCUGACAUGAGUAACGAUUAGGCGUGUGAGAAACACGCCCGCCGAAAGUCCAAGGGUUCCUGCGCAAGGUUAAUCCACGCAGGGUGAGCCGGAUCCUAAGGCGAGGGCGAAAGCCGUAGCCGAUGGCAACACGGUUAAUAUUCCGUGGCCUGCUGGUAGUGACGGCGGUCGUAAGUUGUAGGUCCUUAUCGGAUUGGUCCUGCAGCGAAGAUCGUCCAGGAAAUAGCUCCAGCUUAUAGUCCGUACCCGAAACCGACACAGGUGGACUGGUAGAGCAUACCCAGGUGUUUGAGAGAACGACGUUGAAGGAACUCGGCAAAUUACUCGCGUAACUUCGGGAGAAGCGAGACCCAUGCUUGGGCAACCAGGUGUGGGUGGCACAAACCAGGGGGUGGCGACUGUUUACUAAAAACACAGGGCUCUGCGAACUCGAAAGAGGACGUAUAGGGUCUGACGCCUGCCCGGUGCCGGAAGGUUAAGAGGAGAGGUGAGAGCUUUGAAUCGAAGCCCCGGUAAACGGCGGCCGUAACUAUAACGGUCCUAAGGUAGCGAAAUUCCUUGUCGGGUAAGUUCCGACCUGCACGAAUGGCGUAACGACUUCCCCACUGUCUCCAACGUCGACUCAGUGAAAUUGAAUUCUCCGUGAAGAUGCGGAGUUCCCGCGGUCAGACGGAAAGACCCCGUGCACCUUUACUACAGCUUUGCACUGGUACUCGACGAAGCAUGUGUAGGAUAGGUGGGAGCCUUUGAAGCCCAGGCGCCAGCUUGAGUGGAGGCAACCUUGAAAUACCACCCUUGGUUCGUUGCGUAUCUAACCGCGAUCCGUCAUCCGGAUCCGGGACCCUGCAUGGCGGGUAGUUUGACUGGGGCGGUCGCCUCCUAAAGAGUAACGGAGGCGCGCGAUGGUGGGCUCAGGCUGGUCGGAAACCAGCCGUCGCGUGUAAGCGCAUAAGCCCGCCUGACUGCAAGACGUACAUGUCGCGCAGAGACGAAAGUCGGCGCUAGUGAUCCGGUGGUCCCGCGUGGAAGGGCCAUCGCUCAACGGAUAAAAGGUACGCCGGGGAUAACAGGCUGAUGACCCCCAAGAGUCCCCAUCGACGGGGUCGUUUGGCACCUCGAUGUCGGCUCAUCACAUCCUGGGGCUGAAGCAGGUCCCAAGGGUUCGGCUGUUCGCCGAUUAAAGUGGUACGUGAGCUGGGUUUAGAACGUCGUGAGACAGUUCGGUCCCUAUCUGCCGUGGGUGUUCGAGACUUGAGAGGAUCUGCCCUUAGUACGAGAGGACCGGGGUGGACGUACCUCUGGUGGACCGGUUGUUGCGCCAGCAGCAUAGCCGGGUAGCUAAGUACGGACGGGAUAACCGCUGAAAGCAUCUAAGCGGGAAACCCACCUCAAAACCAGGUCUCGCUUGAGAGCCGUGGUAGACCACCACGUCGAUAGGCCGGAGGUGCAAGCGUGGCAACACGCUCAGCCAACCGGUCCUAAUAGCUCGAUCGAGCUCGCAAC